UUGUCUCCCCUUGGAGUGGCGGCUCCCGGGUGGUGUAGCCUGCAGCAGCCGUCCCUCCCCUCACCGCUGUCCUCAGUAACACACUGCGCUCUCCAAGGUGCUGAAGUGAGCGGAGCCGAGCAGCCUGCAAACUGCACAGCAAACUCCGCUCCACUACAGCUGAUUAUGCAACCCCGAGCAGGCAACAGGGAGACAACACAGCUCUGUCCUCAGGAAGACACAAGUAUUCCUUCAACUAAGAGAAAACGCCUUCAUCUGCCCUCCUCUACCGGAACAUUACACUGUCUGGCUGCAGGAAGGGACCUGCACAGAUAGAUCACCCAAGGUGCCAGGUACAGCAAGGAAAACCCCUAAAAUCAUCUAUCUGCAGAGGUCACAGGGGCAAGGCCGGAAUGAAGAUGCAGGACACGGAUGUCUUUGGCAAUGCCUAAAAUUCCCCAUUACAAAUGGAUCAGGACGAAAUGGAUACAAAGGAUUUGCAUUGAAGGUCAUGGGCUGGAUGGGAUGUUAUGCACUGGAGACAUUGUAGCCAUUGCCUAUUAUAUUUUCUAGGAUCUAUCUCUAGUAGAUAACAGUAGAGUAUGCAACAUUACCAAGUGCCAGACAACUAUAUGCAUCCCUGAAGGAUCCUGAAGCUCUCAGAUGCCACAUUGUACCUUGUGAUGCCAUGUGUUGUGUCACUCACCACAGUGUCCAUAGACUGAAGAUCCCAAAGGGCUUUACAUUGAAACUCGACUUCUCAAUAUCCCCCAAACAUCUCAGACACAGGUACAAGGUCAAAUGAGAAAUUAGGAAAUUGUUGGGAGGUUUUUCCACCAAUUUUCUGGAACUUGCAGAAUAAAGAAAAAUAAACCCCCCAUAAGAUACAUUACUCUUUGUGGAUUGUCCCCUUAUGAAGUGUGGUCCAAUGCCUCUCCAUCCGACGAGGUGUUGGUUGCUGUCCAGCUGCCCAGUGGUGCUGAAAUUUGGAUGAUGUCUGGCAGGAGAACUAAAAGCUGCUGUUGCUUGCUGCCACUGAAUGAAGACAACGGGAGAUUCCUUCUUCUAGCCAUUUUCAUUGUACUUUAUCUGAUAGCAGGAGCCACAAUCUUUUCCACCAUAGAGAGUCCAUCUGAAGCUGUAGCCCAAAACCGCUGGGACAGGAUCCUGAAGAACUUCAGUCAGUCCUUUAAUAUCAGCCUCCUGGAGCUUCGGUCAUUCCUAAGAGAUUAUGAAGCAGCAAUGGCAGCAGGGAUCAGGGCAGAUGCCCUCAGGCCAAGGUGGGACUUCACUGGAGCCCUGUACUUUGUAGGAACAGUAGUCUCCACUAUAGGUUUUGGAAUGACCACGCCAGCUACUGUAGCAGGAAAAGUGUUCCUCAUCUUCUAUGGUCUCUUUGGAUGUGCUGGUACAAUACUAUUUUUCAACCUAUUUUUGGAAAGGAUAAUAUCACUUUUGGCUUUUGUAAUGAAAGCUUGCCAUGAAAGACGACUACGAAUAAAUGGGCUUCUACCUCCGACGGUCCGAAGAAGUUCAUCUGUAUCAGAAGUUGACAGCCUUGUUGGGUGGAAGCCAUCGGUUUACCAUGUUAUGCUAAUAUUGGGCAUUUUUGCUAUAACCCUCUCUUGCUGUGCAUCAGCCAUGUAUACCCCGGUGGAAGGGUGGAAUUACGUUGAUUCUUUGUAUUAUUGUUUUGUCACCUUUAGCACCAUUGGAUUUGGAGAUUUGGUAAGCAGCCAAAAUGCUGAAUACAAAUAUCAGGGAUUAUACAGGUUUGGAAAUUUCAUGUUUAUACUUUUGGGAGUUUGUUGCAUUUACUCACUUUUUAACGUCAUAUCGAUUGUAAUCAAGCAAGUUUUAAACUGGAUCCUAAAAAAAUUAAGGUGCCGAUGCUGUGAUAAGUGCCAUAAAUCAAACCCGCGUCUUGGACGCCGAAAUGCCAUCACCCCUGGAGCUCGUUUUCGCAGGAACCAGUUGUCUAUGGAGACAGAUGGAAACAAUGAUAGUGACACAGAAGGAAGGAGGUUAUCUGGGGAGAUGAUCUCCAUGAGGGAUCUCACGGCAUCCAAUAAGGUGUCUCUCGCCAUACUACAGAAACAGUUAUCUGAAACAGCCAAUGGUUAUCCUAGAACUGUGUGCAUCAACACAAGACAAAAUGGCUUCUCAGGAGGAGUCGGAGCUUUAGCCAUCAUGAACAAUAGGUUGGCAGAAACAAGUGAUUCUAGCUUAUAAAAAAGACCCCAUACCAACCAGAACAUAAUCCUGUCCGGCUACAGCAUCAUCUUUGUCCAAGAUGAAGCACAGGCAUGGAAAAAGUCCAGUAAGUGAGGGCAGGACUGACAUGCCUCUGUGCUCACUCCUGUCCUAUCAGACCACAGCAUGAACACACAGAGGAGGAGGUUACAGAGCAGCCUGCAAUGAUUGGAUGAAGAGACCCAGCACAGCAGACUCAGGGAGGAAGAUGAGUCAUGCAGAGUGAGGACACGCCGCCUCCAAAGCACAGAAUGACAAACCAAGUAUUCAAGCAGCAAGAACCAGUGCUUUGGACUUCCUACUACUCGAAACUGAAUGCAAUUUUAUUGACUUUAAUAUUUGAUGUAUUUCUAUUUUUUUUUUUUUUUUUUUUUUUGCUAUAACUAAAGAUGUCACAGAGAAUACAACUAUUGCAGAGCGGUAUAGAAGACAUGAACUCUAGAUUUCAGGUCCUUAUCUUACUAAUGGCAUGCAAAAGCACAAGAUGUCAUUUUUAAUACCUGCAAUGCUCUUUUGUACAUUUUUUAAAAAUUAAUAUUUACUUAAGGGUAAAGGUGACCUAUUUUUUUUUCUUCUUAAAGAAAUCUCCAUUUUGUUCAUACAGAAUUUAUGAUAUCUAUGUUAAAAAAAGAAAAAAAAACUUUAUUAUUUUGCUGUGUUUGCUAUUCACAAAGUGCUUGAUGGAAUGAAUAUGCAACUACGAGAAUGCUAUCCACCUAUAACUGGCUAUUAUUUUUUGCAUGAUUACAACAUAUUGCUGUAAAAGUGCUAUUUAAAGAGAUAAAAAGGUUCAAAUGAUAUUUGUAAAAAAAAA